GGAGACCGCCUCCGUCUCUACGCCCACCAAUCAGCAGUUCACCGAGCCAGAGCCUGAGGGCCAUAACUGCUAUGAGGGCUGGGAGGAGGACCUGCUGCCUGAGGAGAGGGAGGUUCCUCUGCUAAACCUCUACCUUACCACCAAGAGAGUGGAGGACAUCGCCCUCAGGCUCGUCUCCCUGCGCCAGGCCUUCACU